rnacentral:rRNA from 1 species
CUGGUCUGCUCACGAUGGGGUCUGACGGUCGAAUUUAUUUCGGUGAUUCUUACUGGCGAACGGGUGAGUGCGCGUAGGCAACCUGCCCUUUGGAUGGGGACAACAUUCCGAAAGGAGUGCUAAUACCGAAUGUGAUCCAUUUCUCGCAUGAGAGAUGGAUGAAAGAUGGCCUCUAUUUAUAAGCUAUCGCCAAAGGAUGGGCCUGUGUCUGAUUGUUAGUUGGUGGGGUAACGGGUCACCAAUACGAUGAUCAGUAUGCGGGCUGAGAGGAUGAAGGGCGAGUUUGGGACUGAGACACGGCCCAAACUACUACGGGAGGCAGCAGUGGGGAAUCUUCCGCAAUGGACGAAAGUCUGACGGAGCAACGCCGCGUGAGUGAUGAAGGUUUUCGGACUGUAAAACUCUGUUGUCAGGGACGAAGGUGCGAUCUGCGAAUAGUUGAUCGUAUUGACGGUACCUGACGAGGAAGCCACGGCUAACUACGUGCCAGCAGCCGCGGUAAUACGUAGGUGGCAAGCGUUGUCCGGAAUUAUUGGGCGUAAAGAGCAUGUAGGUGGGCUUUUAAGUCCGAUGUGAAAAUGCGGGGCUCAACCCCGUAUGGCAUUGGAUACUGGAAGUCUUGAGUGCAGGAGAGGAAAGGGGAAUUCCCAGUGUAGCGGUGAAAUGCGUAGAUAUUGGGAGGAACACCAGUGGCGAAGGCGCCUUUCUGGACUGUGUCUGACACUGAGAUGCGAAAGCUAGGGUAGCAACGGGAUUAGAUACCCCGGUAGUCCUAGCCGUAAACGAUGGGUACUAGUGUAGGGGGUAUCGACCCCCCCUG